rnacentral:lncRNA from 1 species
GUGCCUGACGUCGGGGGCGAGCCGGGCCUGCGCGGUAGUGGGACCCGACCCUGUCUCCAGUGGGCGUCUUGGGCCCCGGCUCUAUUCUGGGCUGCGGGCCUGGGAAGGGCUCGCCGGGUGCCAAAUGAGCUGUCCUAACUCUGCGGGGCUGCAGCUUCCUGCAUGAUGCUGGGGAGCUUGGCGCCUGACCCAGGAUCUAGAAGGCACUCUGGGCAGGCCGCGCUCCGCCCACGAAGGUCUGGCUUACCACACGCUCCUCCCCAUUCCCAGUGAGCCGCUUUUUGCAGCACCAGGCGAACACUUACACCAGUGCUUUGUAAAGGAAUCUUAUUGUCCACCCCGUGUCUUGGCAAAAGAACAGUGAUCACACAGAUUCCUACUUGGGCUCUUUCCUUUAAUCUUCGGAGGCUGAGUUUGCCCAACUCAGGUUUAACCACCAAGGACUCUGAGAGCUGGCAGGUCUGAGUAACCCUGGUAACAAUUCUCUUCACCUUAUCAAAACCUGAGCUAAAACCAAUGCAUCAGCUGAUGAUGACAGCAGAGAGUGGCAGGGCUGAGGACCCAAAGUCAUUUCCCAGGCUGGCGGAGAAUAAACUGCCAGGGAGAAGAAUGAGAAGACAGGAGACAAACUGUUUGGAAAGCUAAAUCUUCCCUCUUAAUGAAUAAAGGUUUUUGCCUUGUCUUAAAGUUUCUGAGUCCUAAUUUUGGCAAAAUAAAUAACUUAUGGUAAUCUGGAAUUGUAUUUUGUAAUAUUAAGUGUUUUGAACCUCUAACAUUUACUUCCCAAAAUCAAACUUCAGUUUCAAAAUUGUCUCUCUUGACCCCUAGCUUUUGGAUGCUACAGAAGGCCCCUGAAGCAUCCAGAAGAGAGGUAAACAGGAUUAUUUAACAUGUUUAGGUACAUGGGAUUGGCCAAAUGGUGUUUAAUGAUCUUCAGGUUAUAUUUUAGUGAAUAAUAUUAAUAUAUUUUCCAAAAUUGUAUGGGAUUUCUAAAAUUCUAAUGUCUGAGUAUAUGCUAGAAAUCAUAAUUAAGGUUAUUAUGUUAAGUUAUUGUAAAACACAGAAAUAAUAAAAUUUGUCAGUCAUGUUCUUGACUAACUACCUUGGACAUUUCACCAUUCAAAAUCGUCUUGUUUUAAUCCUCUUUAAAGGAUGGUUUAUAAUCAGCUAUAGGACUUUGACACAUGCUCUCAAAUGCAAGUUUCUGAUAACUUUGGAGAUUAUGACAUUGGAAUAAAGGAAAAAUGUACAGGACUCAUGAAGAGCUAAAAUAUUCAUGAAUAUCAAGCAAAACAAGAGUUAACAAAAUGGACUUUUUAACCUUUUUGCUUAAAAUGUUGCUGAUCCUUAUUUUGUUUUUCAGAGUCAAGGAAACUUAUUUUAAGCUAUUUAUAGCCUCUAAUAAUUAUGUAAGGUAUACUUCUGUAAAUAAAAUUCAGAGCAUAUU